UCCCGGCCGUGACGACAUCUGUGCUUUGUUAACUGCAUCCAUUAGGUUGGCUUUAGUUUUUUCUUAGUUACGAAAUAAGAAAAGCUCCAACAUUCAACUAAAUGGGCAGAGUGUCACUUAAUUCUUCAUAUAUUUAAUUUAUGGCUUUGUGCUGCUCUGUCUAUCAACACAUAACUUCCUUUCCGGCUGUCAAUUGAUUAGGGGUGGUAGAAACAGAUGCAUGCAUGUUCCUGGGUGAACGAGGUGCCAUUGGGUAUGAUGGGCACCAGAAAGACCUAGCUUGGGAGCUACACACGUUCCAGUUGGAGGAUACAGCAGUUUAUGAUCAGUUGACAGGAUGGAUUGGUAUUUGCAGGGUGUGCACUGUGGCAUCUAUCACUACUGGAAAGCAAAAUGUUCCAGUUGGUUUGUCUUUAGCCCACAGCAAAAUGAUGAAUUGUUCUGUCAGGUCCUUGCCACCGAAAGGGAAAUUCCAAAAUCGACCGUGUAGAUGAAUUUUUCUGUCAAUUUUUGUACUACUGACAGAAAAAAAAAAUCAAGAUCCACAACCAUGCUUGGGCUGCCUCCAUCAGUCAUGACUGAGAGCAUACGACGGUUGGGUUAUCCUUACCAAGAACUAGUAGGACUUGCAUUGCUCACCGAACUGCCCAAUUCCUGACAAUCCCUUUGGCUGCAUGCGCAGGUAUUUUGCGUGAAAAGUCGCAUGACUUGUGACAUGCCAUCAUGUACCUCAUCCAGACUAAAACCAAAUGUAUUUUUUAUCUCAGUUUGCCAACUUCGGAAAACAAUUUCUUAAGGCUGCUAGGAAUCGGUCCCAGUACAAAUCGCUUAGACAGGUAGAUGUGGCUGUCCAGCUUUCUACAAAUGGUUUUCAUCCGUGACUAGGUUACAUUCCUCUAUAUAUAGUAGUGGGAGAUACUAAGUUUUUCAAGAGCAGUUUGCUCAACUUGACCGCAAUUAAAAAUUUUUUUGACUGUCUCUGUUAAUAUAUUUUUUAGUUGUGUUGAUGACAACUGAGCUAGGUGUCUCUGUUAAAUUACGUACAAGAGGAAGAAUCAAACAAUUGGUAUUUGGUGUUCUCCAAUGCACUUCUUAUCACUUAUGAGGACCCAGCUAAUCUAACCACCUUUGACCAGAUUGUUAAUCGAAGCCUUGAUUCCCAUAAUCCCAUCCCAUGUGAGCUUGACUGGCAAAGGACUAUAAGUUGAAGGAUUUCUGGUUCCUACAGGCUACAGUCAUGCCAAUGAAAAGACCUUCGACUACAUUCUCAACAGAACGUAGUGUCCUCCUUGGUCUGCUCUGUCGUCCAUGGAUCAUUGAAUUCCCCAAUCUGGUUGCCCCGCUGAAAACGACCAAUGCAGUGGGAACAGAUGGGCUGCCUCCCUUGCAACUCCAUUUGUGGCCCUCUAUCCAUUAAAUGGCGGGCCAAGCUUAGUCAAAGGACAAGUGCCCAGGAAGAGAAGGAUCUUAUUGGGGCUAUCGAGGUUGUCCCACCAAGACUACCAGAAUGGUGGGACUUCUCCUAGCUAGUGUUUUUAAGUAGUGCUAAAACAUUACCACUAGUCAUAACACAUGAGAAUUUCACUAGGAGGCAUUUAGUAGAGAAAGUUUAUACUUAAUUUUGAAUGCUAACACACUAGAAGAAAGCCACCUCACUAGGAGAAGUCCAAAGAUUUUGGUUGUGCAAUGCUGCUGAUCCCCUCUCCUAGAACCAUCAGCUUUUUCCUUCUGAUAUCUACUUUCCUUAUGCCUCCCCGUCCAAGUAUAUUAUCAGCAUCUCAAAUCUACCCAUUUCUUGUUAGGUUUCUUCUCGUUCUAUGUGUGGUUUGUGAAGUAUUGGAUUGUGUGUGCAACACUGGAACAUAUAUUAUAGGCAAUAUAUCCAUGUACUCGAUGCAUUUCUACUUUAUAUAUAGAGAGAGGAGUAAUACCCAUGGU
rnacentral:lncRNA from 1 species